rnacentral:rRNA from 1 species
CGAACGGGUGAGUAAUACAUCGGAACGUGUCCGCUCGUGGGGGACAACCAGCCGAAAGGUUGGCUAAUACCGCAUGAGUUCUACGGAAGAAAGAGGGGGACCCGCAAGGGCCUCUCGCGAGCGGAGCGGCCGAUGACUGAUUAGCCUGUUGGUGAGGUAACGGCUCACCAAAGCAACGAUCAGUAGCUGGUCUGAGAGGACGACCAGCCACACUGGGACUGAGACACGGACCAGACUCCUACGGAAGGCAGCAG